rnacentral:rRNA from 1 species
UACGGGGGGGCAAGCGUUGUUCGGAAUUACUGGGCGUAAAGGGUUCGUAGGUGGCCAACUAAGUCAGACGUGAAAUCCCUCAGCUUAACUGGGGAACUGCGUCUGAUACUGAUUGGCUUGAGUGCAGGAGAGGAACGCGGAAUUCCAGGUGUAGCGGUGAAAUGCGUAGAUAUCUGGAGGAACACCGGUGGCGAAGGCGGCGUUCUGGACUGCAACUGACACUGAGGAACGAAAGCCAGGGGAGCAAACGGG